AGAAAAUCAUGAGGGUACAGAAUGAGAGAGGGGAGACGAUAAGGUUUCAUACAAGACGGGUAAUACAAUGCAGUUUAUAUCAUCUCUGAGUAUUUGUUAGCCUCUCUUUAUAUUAGGAAGAGUAAAGGACUGCCUGUGACUAUUAAGGUAACAAAAACAUAUUAUAAACAGAUGCAAUGCCUGUCUAGAUAGAUUCUGAAG